rnacentral:misc_RNA from 1 species
GCAAACUUGGUCAUUUAGAGGAAGUAAAAGUCGUAACAAGGUUUCCGUAGGUGAACCUGCGGAAGGAUCAUUAACGAAUUCGAUGCCAAAGCGCCCUUCGGGCUGAUGCUGGCUCCUCGGAGCGCGUGCACGCCUAGGGCGCCUUCAAUUCGCCUCCUCCUCCCUUGUGCACUCCAUGUAGUCCGCCCCCUCCCGGGCGCCUACGAUUUUCGUCUCCGUACGCACCCUGAUCGCAUGUGUGAGCGCAGCCUUUGAAUGUGAUAACACACGAAACACAACUUUCAACAACGGAUCUCUUGGCUCUCGCAUCGAUGAAGAACGCAGC